AGCGCCUGCCUUGUGCCUAAAAAAUACUGCAAUCCGCAUAGCCGCCAAAAUUCAUAAAUUACAACAGCAACAAGUGGCAAGUAGAAAAGCGAAGCAAAAAAAAAGUGAAACCGAGAAGAAAAAACGCAAAAUGUGGAUACCUGCUUUUGGACCUUGAACAAGGUGAUGUUGAUUGCUAAGUUGCUGUUGCUAGUGCCAGUGCUAGUGCUGCCUGCUGAUCGCUGCUAUUGCUAUUGUUGUCGACACCUCGUUGUUGUUUUGAAGUUCAAAGUUAACGAAACGAGUCGGCAGAUAGACACAGUCGAGGAGGAGGAAGCACGAGCGGUGCGAAGAAAACAAGAAAAGGGGCCCUCCGACCAUCGACAAUAUAAACAUAGGAGAUGAACAAAGUUGCAGACAACACGGCGUAUGCUUAAUCAAUCAACUGAUGUGGAUGGCCGCUCACCAACGCACCAUGGACCCCAGCCGAAGUCCCGCUGAGCAGCCAACUUGUCACCCGACCGGGCCAUUGUCUUUCUUCAGCUGCGGAGAUGUGCGUGAGUCGCAGGUCGUGAGCGACGCCUCGUGAGGAUUGCAAUAAGGACACUCGGCCCUUAGUAAAAUGAAACGGGGAAAGGGGAAGAACCUUCAAAUAGGACUGUUGACUAGUCAAAAAAUGAUUUGUUUAAUUGCGUUUCGGAUGAGUAAUAAGUAGUUUAUUAUAUUUCGAAAGAUGGUGUUUAAAUGUAUCUUUUUUGCGAUACAAUCGCGCUGGCGUGAGUCAUAAAAAUACAUUGAAAACGAAUGUUACGUAUACGCCAUGAAGUGCAACAGCGAUUCAGAACCUGUAGAAGCCAUAAACUAAUGACAGUGUGAUGGAUUGGAAAUUGUAUGCUUUUUGCUUUCCCAUUCGGGCCGUGAGUCGUAAAACCCACUGAGUUUUUGGCACCGCUGUGGGCAUCUCUAGCUGGCUGGCACUUUGGGCCUGUCCAAAAAGCCGCUCAGACGCUACGGCGGGCAGCUCUGCUUUUGAUUAAGCUCAUUUGCAUUUGAAUGGCAGUGCUGGACGGUGGUUUUAUGUUACUCCACGGGCGAGUGCCGGAUGGGGGAGCGGUGGUCCGCUGGUGAGGUGAGGUGAGGUGAGGUGCCUUUGAAUUUCUAAUAAGCCAAGUUAUUUGCGCAUGACUCAACGACAGUGCGUCGUCGAUAAUUCCAUGAUACUCAGCUCGAGUCGGUGGGUUAGUUGGGCAAAUAUUUAUAGAAGCGCUCGCCCAAGUCGUCUAUCUAUUAAAUUUACAUCUGCGGUUGCCGUGGCCGUAGCCCCUGUCUAAGACAACUAUUUUUAGCUGCUGAAUCUCCAGCCAAUCAGUCUGCACAAACGAUCGUAAGCAUCUGCCGAGCAGCGAAAGCGAUGAGUCGCCUGAACGCAAUCGCCUGACAUUAACCGAACUCACGAGUCCACUAAUGUGUGCACAUUUGUCACCAGGCCUUGCUCCUCACUGGUGUGUCUAUUAUGGAUGACGAAAACUUCCUGAAAUAUCCUUAAGCAUUCGCUGGCCGCUAAAGUUUGUAUCUAUUGUGGAUACAGAUAUUCAAGAUGUGCAAGGGAAAUAUUCUAAAUGGUCGAAUGACCAGCAACGAGUUAUAAUGCCCUCGUCCAGAAAAUUACAAUUUCAACCAGAAACUCGUAGAGCAAACGAACGUGACAUUAUAG